AUUGAACGCUGGCGGAAUGCUUUACACAUGCAAGUCGAACGGUAGAGGGGGCAACCCCUCGAGAGUGGCGAACGGGUGAGUAAUAUAUCGGAACGUGCCCAGUCGUGGGGGAUAACGUAGCGAAAGUUACGCUAAUACCGCAUACGAUCUACGGAUGAAAGCGGGGGAUCGCAAGACCUCGCGCGAUUGGAGCGGCCGAUAUCAGAUUAGGUGGUUGGUUGGGUAAAGGCUCACCAAGCCAACGAUCUGUAGCAGGUCUGAGAGGACGACCAGCCACACUGGAACUGAGACACGGUCCAGACUCCUACGGGAGGCAGCAGUGGGGAAUUUUGGACAAUGGACGCAAGUCUGGUCCAGCCAUUCCGCGUGCAGGAUGAAGGCCCUCGGGUUGUAAACUGCUUUUGUACGGAACGAAAAGGUUUCCAUUAAUACUGGGAGCUCAUGACGGUACCGUAAGAAUAAGCACCGGCUAACUACGUGCCAGCCGCCGCCGUAA
rnacentral:rRNA from 1 species